rnacentral:lncRNA from 1 species
AGGGGGGGCUCAUAUUAAGGAGGAGAUUUUUACAUUAUUCUUUUUGCUUAUGAUCAAAAAGGGGGAGAAGAAAUAUAAGGGGAGAAUUAAGGGGAGAAAUAUAUUACAAUUGGUGCAGGUACUACUAACUUUGUUGUUGUCUGUUAGCUUGUAUGUGUUGCAGGUAAACCAGAGUUGCUUUUAAAAGUGAAUUUUUGAUCAUCAUAAAAAAGGGGGAGAUUGUUACCAAUAAGGAGUAUUGGUAAAACCUGAAGAAUUGUUUUGAUGAUGAUGCAAGUAGUAUUAUUUGAAGAGAACAUUAGAAUUAUUUAAAAAGCAACUUGUAGAAUUUGGAUGUAGUAGGAAAAUAUUAAACCUUGUAAUUUUUACUAGAAUAAUCGAUUAUGGACAAGCUAUAAUCGAUUAUCACUUGCAUUUUGUACUAGAAUAAUUUAUUAUCAUGAAGCAACAAUCGAUUAUCACAAGUCAUACUUGAAUAAUCGAUUAUCACUUCAUAUAAUCGAUUAUCACUUUUUGAAAACUCUGUAACGGACUU